AGUCACUGACAUUAGAUACCCCCUGUAGUCCAGGGUGUAAACGCUGCAGACUUGGUGUUGGAAGCCCUUUGGGGGCAUUCAGUGCCGGAGAGAAGUUGUUAAGUCUGCUACUUGGGGAGUACGUCCGCAAGGAUGAAACUUAAAGGAAUUGGCGGGGAGCACCGCAACGGGAGGAGCGUGCGGUUUAAUUGGAUUCAACACCGUAAACUCACCAGGGAAGACUGUUACAUGAAGGCCGAGAUGAAGACUCUGCUAGAUUUUCAG
rnacentral:rRNA from 1 species